GGCAACCUGCCUGUAAGACUGGGAUAACUCCGGGAAACCGGGGCUAAUACCGGAUAACCCGUUCCACCUCAUGGUGGAGCGGUAAAAGAUGGCCUCUGGCUAUCACUUACAGAUGGGCCCGCGGCGCAUUAGCUAGUUGGUAAGGUAACGGCUUACCAAGGCGACGAUGCGUAGCCGACCUGAGAGGGUGAUCGGCCACACUGGGACUGAGACACGGCCCAGACUCCUACGGGAGGCAGCAGUAGGGAAUCUUCCGCAAUGGACGAAAGUCUGACGGAGCAACGCCGCGUGAGUGAUGAAGGUUUUCGGAUCGUAAAGCUCUGUUGUUAGGGAAGAACAAGUGCCGUUUGAAUAAGGCGGCACCUUGACGGUACCUAACCAGAAAGCCACGGCUAACUACGUGCCAGCAGCCGCGGUAAUACGUAGGUGGCAAGCGUUGUCCGGAAUUAUUGGGCGUAAAGCGCGCGCAGGCGGUCUCUUAAGUCUGAUGUGAAAGCCCACGGCUCAACCGUGGAGGGUCAUUGGAAACUGGGAGACUUGAGUACAGAAGAGGAGAGUGGAAUUCCACGUGUAGCGGUGAAAUGCGUAGAUAUGUGGAGGAACACCAGUGGCGAAGGCGACUCUCUGGUCUGUAACUGACGCUGAGGCG
rnacentral:rRNA from 1 species